GCCUGGGUGGCUCAGUCAUUGAGCGUCUGCCUUCGGCUCAGGGAGUGAUCCCAGUGUUGUGGGAUCGAGCCCCACAUCAGGCU
rnacentral:tRNA from 1 species